UGCUAGCGUCGAUAGAAAUGCAAAACUAGGUUGGUUCCAGCACACUUUGGAAGUGGAUAAACCCGUCGCAAUAAACUUACCAUGGAGUGCAUUUUCGUCAAGGUUUGUGCGACCCAUAAUGUCCUUACAAAGAUUCGUCGUCGAGCAAGAAGCAAUUGGUUAAAGUACGAUAAAGGAUGACCGGAGAGAAAAAAAUCUGGGAGCACGUUGACGGAAUUGAGGGUCUGAAGAAAUGGAAACCAAAGCUAUCACAAUCUGUGGCAAAAUGCAAUAAGGCCGAUAAAUUUGCAGUCAUCAUUUCUGCAAGUAAGUGUCCGCCUGUACUUCAUUUCACAAACGGCAAAUACCCACCUAAAAAAGAGGGGAUGCUGUUACUUUUUCAUGUCUUCAAUUUUAGAAUUUCUAAACCUGUUCUAAUUUAUCCGUUAUGAUCUUUUUGGAAAAAAAAAAUCAUUAUCCUACGAGAAUCGGACAAAGUCGAAGGAUGCCCAAUCGGAAUAAACAUUUGGAGAUAAGCUGACGAAAACAACAAUCAGAUUUAGAAUUGUUAAAACUAACAACAACAGGCAGACGAAAAUUCAAACUUUUCUCCGAAAUUUCGCUGCUUGUUUUCUGAGGUUGUCCGGAACAAACAUCGGCUAGCUGCUACAUUGGACGCCACACGUCACGUCACGUCCAUGAUAAGUAAUGGAUUAUGGGCUCUCGAAAAAGGACAAGACCAUAGGAAAACUUCCGUGAACCCGGUGAACGAAAUCUUGACUGUGGUGUUGGUAAUAACGGCCAAAUUACACCCUGAUUCUGGCCUUUCAUCGGGGAUUCCGGGCUAAAAAGUGUACUUGCAUGUCGGAGCAGAAGAAGCCUUUAUCAACUUUGCUCAUUUCCGUGGCUCUACCAAAAGGCGUUACUGGGUAGAUCCUUUCCAAUUAUUGCUAGAAGUUUGAAAAGGAACGUUUGGUUAUAUUCUUUUUAAAGGCAAACAAUUGCAUCAAUUUAUGAGAAGUCUAUUCGGCGCUUGCUCCCUAUUACAGCCCCCUCCAUCGUAUCCUGAUAGCUGCGCGCUUCGGAAUCAAAUGUGAUAACCAUUGUUUAAAACAAUGAUAUAAAAUUUGAAUGAAGAUAAAUAAUAGGUGACAAAAAAUUUCAAAUAACAGGAUAAACAUAAAUAAAAACACCCUCAUUUAAAUAACACACACACACACACACACACACACACACACACACACACACACACACACACACACACACACACACACACACACACACACACACACACACACGAACAAACACACGCACAAACACAC